rnacentral:rRNA from 1 species
GUUGAACGCUGGCGGCAUGCCUUACACAUGCAAGUCGAACGGUAACGCGGGGCAACCUGGCGACGAGUGGCGAACGGGUGAGUAAAGCAUCGGAACGUGCCCAGUAGUGGGGGAUAGCCCGGCGAAAGCCGGAUUAAUACCGCAUACGACCUAAGGGUGAAAGCGGGGGAUCGCAAGACCUCGCGCUAUUGGAGCGGCCGAUGUCAGAUUAGGUAGUUGGUGGGGUAAAGGCCUACCAAGCCGACGAUCUGUAGCUGGUCUGAGAGGACGACCAGCCACACUGGGACUGAGACACGGCCCAGACUCCUACGGGAGGCAGCAGUGGGGAAUUUUGGACAAUGGGCGCAAGCCUGAUCCAGCCAUGCCGCGUGCGGGAAGAAGGCCUUC